GCCCAUAAGGCCGUUGCAGAAAGGUCAGUAAUUGUUACUUGCCUUAUGCUAGCGGCUAUGGAACCAAGCCUUCAAAAGAGGUUUGCAAGCUUGGAUGCCUAUAGCAUUAUCCGACAGUUGAAAACCAUGUUUCAACAACAAGCUCGGAUAGAGAGGUAUGAAACUCACAAGGCUAUUCUUGAGUGUUCGUUAGUUGAAGGCAAGCCGGUCGCCACUCAUGUCUUCGAAAUGAUUGGUUAUUUCGAAGCCAUGGAGAGGUUGGGCUUUCCUUAUAGCCAAGAGUUGGCUACUGACAUCAUUCUGCACUCACUUCAUAAGGGGUUCAAUACGUUUCGAUUGAAUUUCAAUAUGAAUGGGGUGUCGAAAACCCUUGCUGAGUUACAUGGGAUGCUCAUGACUGCCGAGCAAAACAUCACUAUUGCACCUAAGAAGGAAGUUCUUAUGGUUCAAAAGGAAAAGGGUUUUAAGAAGGAAUGGGCUGGCAAGAAAAAGCAAGAUAAGGGCAAGCAAGUUGCCACUAAGACUGCUAUUAAGCCACAGGCAAAGGCAAAGCCAAAGGUGGCCGCAAAUGCCAAGUGCUUCUAUUGUGAUCAAAUAGGUCAUUGGAAGCGUAACUGCCCAAGUACUUGAAGGAUAAGAAGUCUGGGGCUUCUUCUUCAGGGACUAAGAAGGAGUAGAACCUUGGCUAAAGGAGAGGUGGAACUGCGAGUUGGAAAUGGUGCAAGAGUUGCCGCCGUUGCAGUUGGGACUUAUAGUCUACCUUUGCCUUCUGGAUUAAUAUUAGAGCUUAAUAAUUGUUAUUACGUUCCUGCUAUUACCAAAAACAUUAUUUCUAUUCCUGUUUUGGAUAAUGAAGGGUUUUCAUUUACAAUUGAGAAAGGUUGUUUCUCUGUUUA